GACGAACGCUGGCGGCGUGCUUAACACAUGCAAGUCGAGCGGUAAGGCCCUUUCGGGGGUACACGAGCGGCGAACGGGUGAGUAACACGUGGGUGACCUGCCCUUAGCUCUGGGAUAAGCCUGGGAAACUGGGUCUAAUACCGGAUAUGACUCCAUAACGCAUGUUGNGGGGUGGAAAGCCUUGUGCGGCUAGGGAUGGGCCCGCGGCCUAUCA
rnacentral:rRNA from 1 species